UACGUAGGGGGCAAGCGUUGUCCGGAUUUAUUGGGCGUAAAGAGCGUGUAGGCGGCCUGAAAGGUCAGCUGUGAAAACUCGAGGCUUAACCUCGAGACGUCGGUUGAAACCAUCUGGCUAGAGUCCGGAAGAGGAGUGUGGAAUUCCCGGUGUAGCGGUGAAAUGCGCAGAUAUCAGGAGGAACACCAAUUGCGAAGGCAGCUCGCUGGGACGUUACUGACGCUGAGACGCGAAAGCGUGGGGAGCAAACAGG
rnacentral:rRNA from 1 species